CGCGGCUCGACUGUAGUGUUGUCUCAGUCUCUCGUUUGAAGCUUCUGUGACUGCAACUUGCACAGCUCCGUCGUGAUGUCUGAGGCUCUCGGACGCAGCCGUCAUUCCCUUGAAGGCACAAUGAGGAAAAACCUAACAUCUGGUUGUUGAAGACUUUACAAGACCAUUCCUCAUUUAAGCCAAGUCCACUUAAUAAGUCCUGGAAAAUGUUCUACUCAAGGCAGCAAGUACACACAGAGCCCAAAUGAACUAUAAUUAAGGUGGCAAGAGACCAAGGAAAAGAGCAGUGUUAGUUCAAUUGUUUCCUUUGCACGGGUAACAGAUGGACUCCAAGGUCUAAUAACCCUUUUGUACUUCAGCUAAGGCUGACAAUACAUCAUUAUACUCAGAUGGAAGCAAGAAGAAGGUGCCUAGCAACUUGGACUUGGAAUGCCUAGGCUUUUGUCAAUUUACAUCAUAAUCUUAAUAUUAAACAGGCUUGCUCUCAUUU